GCACAUGCCUGUAAUCCCAGCUACUCAGGAGGCUGAGCAGGAGAAUCGCUUGAACUGGAGAGGUGGAGGUUGCGGUAAGCUGAGAUCGCACCACUGCACUCCAGCAUGGGUAACAAGAGCAAAACUCCAUCUCAAAAAAAAACAAACAAAAAAAAACAAAAGUCACAACCCAAAUAUGAAGCAAACAAACUUUCAGAUGAUGAUGGUACAGUGUGUUUAUAACACUAACAACUCACUUUUCUCCCCACACAUAGCAAUCGUAAAAAUAAAAACAGCCAGGCACAGUGGCUCAUGCCUAUAAUCCCAGCGCUUUGGGACACAGAGUUGGGCAGAUCACCUGAUGUCAGGAAAUCGAGGCCAGCCUGGCCAAUAUGGCAAAACCCCGUCUCUACUAAAAAUACAAAAAAAAAAAAAAAAAUAGCUAGGUGUGGCGGUGAGUGCCUGUAAUCCCAAGUACCUGAGAUGCUGAGGCAGGAGAGUUACUUGAACCCAGGAGGUGGAGGUUGCAGUGAGCUGAGAUCGCAGCAUUGCACUCCAGCCUGGGUGACAAGAGUGAAACUCCAUCUCAAAAAAAUAAAUUAAUAAAAAAUAAAACAAAACAAAACAAAAACAAAGGCUUGGGCACAGUGGCUCAUGCCCAUAAUCCUAGCAUUUUGGGAGGCUGAGACAGGAUUGCUUGAGUCCAGGAGUUCAAGACCAGCCUGGACAAAAUAGCAAGACACUAUCUGUACAAAAAAUUAAACAAUUAGCUGGGCAUGGUGGCAUGUGCCUGUAGUCUCAGCUACUUGGGAGGCUGAGGUGGAAGGAUCACUUGAGCCCAGGAGAUUGAGUCUGCAGUGGGCUAUGAUUAUGCCACUACACUCCAGCCUGGGAGACAGAAUAAGACUCUGUCAAAAAAUAAUAAUAAUAAUAACAAAAAAGGAAAAGAAAAAGAAAACUAAAAGAUAUAGUCAGGCUCAAAUACCAGAUAAAGAUAUCCAAAAUCCAGAGAGCAAUAGAAACUGUGAACAGCGAAAAGGACUGAAACUGGGUAGCUGGUAGUUUGGCUUUUGUAGGGCAAAAGGGAUUGAAAAUGCUUCAUAGGAGAUGGGAGACUGGAGCCAGGCACAAGCUCAAAGACCUGAACAGUGGUGGGGCACCCUCAAUGUUAUGAAGAGAGAAUGAAAAUGAGCUGCUCCUAACUGCUGCUUGGGACCGUAGGUUCUAGUGAGCUGUAGGCCUAAGGUUUACAAGGCCAUAGCCUUGCAACCAAGAGAUAAGUCAAACACCCAAUGUUUAUGACUAGAUCUGCCCUGCUCUUAAUAUCUUCUUUGAUUCACUGCUAGUAGACUGUGUUCUGAUUUAGAGACCCGGACUGUGGAAUAGAAGCAAUAAAAAAACUGAUGGGCAAGGGAAGGUAAGGAGAGGGGUUGAGAAAGACAGAAAAAGAGGCUGGGCAGAGUAAGAUUCUGUCAGGAAAGAAAGAAAGAGAGAGGAAGGGAAAGUAGGGAGGGAGGGAGGAAAGGAAGGAAGGAAGCAAGGAAGGAAGGAGAAAGAAGAAAGAAAGAGAAAGAGAGAAAGAAAAAAAGAAAGAAGAAGGAAGAAAGGAGGGAGGGAAGGAAGGAAGGGAAGGAAAGAAAGAAAACAAUAUAUUUUCACUAAAAAACCCAUACACCAAAAUCCCAAAACAAAUAUAUUGCUAAUAAAGAUAGCCAAUAAAAUCAACAAUUGGAAUAGUAAUCCAAUCCAGCUGAAUGCUUUACACAAUGGUAUGACAAAGCCUUAAACAUAAGUAUGCUGAGGAUGUAAAAAAAUAUAUAAAUUAAGAUAUAACUUCCCUAAAACAAAAUGGGGAAAAAAAGGAAACUCUUUUAGAUGGGUAUCUAAAAGAACCAAUUCGAAAUAUGGAAAUCAAAAAUAACAAUCAUUUGAAAAAGGAAUGAACCACUCAUACAUACAACAUGGAUGAACCUCAAAAACAUUAUACUAAAUGAAAGUAACUAGAUGCAAAAGACCGGCCGGGCGCAGGGGCUCACACCUGUAAUCUCAAUACUUCGGGAGGCGGAGGCGGGAAGAUCACCUGAG
rnacentral:lncRNA from 10 species